rnacentral:rRNA from 1 species
UUGAACGCUGGCGGCAUGCCUAACACAUGCAAGUCGAACGGCAGCACAGCAGUAGCAAUACUGUGGGUGGCGAGUGGCGGACGGGUGAGGAAUACGUCGGAAUCUGCCCAGUCGUGGGGGAUAACUAGCCGAAAGGUUAGCUAAUACCGCAUACGACCGAGAGGUGAAAGCGGGGACCGCAAGGCCUCGCGCGAUUGGAUGAGCCGACGUCGGAUUAGCUAGUUGGCGGGGUAAAGGCCCACCAAGGCGACGAUCCGUAGCUGGUCUGAGAGGAUGAUCAGCCACACUGGAACUGAGACACGGUCCAGACUCCUACGGGAGGCAGCAGUGGGGAAUAUUGGACAAUGGGCGCAAGCCUGAUCCAGCAAUGCCGCGUGUGUGAAGAAGGCCUUCGGGUUGUAAAGCACUUUAUCAGGAACGAAAAGCGUUGGAUUAAUACUCUGACGUGCUGACGGUACCUGAGGAAUAAGCACCGGCUAACUUCGUG